AUGCAUGUCUAAGUAUAAGCAACUAUACGGUGAAACUGCGAAUGGCUCAUUAAAUCAGUUAUCGUUUAUUUGAUAGUACCUUACUACAUGGAUACCCGUGGUAAUUCUAGAGCUAAUACAUGCUAAAAACCUCGACUUCGGAAGGGGUGUAUUUAUUAGAUAAAAAACCAAUGCCCUUCGGGGCUCUCUGGUGAUUCAUAAUAACUUCUCGAAUCGCAUGGCCUUGCGCCGGCGAUGGUUCAUUCAAAUUUCUGCCCUAUCAACUUUCGAUGGUAGGAUAGUGGCCUACCAUGGUGGCAACGGGUAACGGGGAAUUAGGGUUCGAUUCCGGAGAGGGAGCCUGAGAAACGGCUACCACAUCCAAGGAAGGCAGCAGGCGCGCAAAUUACCCAAUCCCGAUACGGGGAGGUAGUGACAAUAAAUACUGAUACAGGGCUCUUUUGGGUCUUGUAAUUGGAAUGAGUACAAUCUAAAUCCCUUAACGAGGAACAAUUGGAGGGCAAGUCUGGUGCCAGCAGCCGCGGUAAUUCCAGCUCCAAUAGCGUAUAUUAAAGUUGUUGCAGUUAAAAAGCUCGUAGUUGAACCUUGGGCCUGGCUGGGCGGUCCGCCUCACGGCGUGCACUGCUCCGGCUGGGUCUUUCCUUCUGGGGAGCCCCAUGGCCUUCACUGGCCGUGGGGGGAACCAGGACUUUUACUGUGAAAAAAUUAGAGUGUUCAAAGCAGGCCUUUGCUCGGAUACAUUAGCAUGGAAUAAUAGAAUAGGACGUGUGGUUCUAUUUUGUUGGUUUCUAGGACCGCCGUAAUGAUUAAUAGGGAUGGUCGGGGGCGUCAGUAUUCGGCUGUCAGAGGUGAAAUUCUUGGAUUUGCCGAAGACUAACUACUGCGAAAGCAUUCGCCAAGGAUGUUUUCAUUAAUCAGUGAACGAAAGUUAGGGGAUCGAAGACGAUCAGAUACCGUCGUAGUCUUAACCAUAAACUAUG
rnacentral:rRNA from 2 species